UUUCCGUAGGUGAACCUGCGGAAGGAUCAUUAAAGAGUAAGGGUCUUCGGGCCCGAUCUCCAACCCUUUGUUUAACUACCAUGUUGCUUUGGCGGGCCCGUCUCACGACCGCCGGAAGUUUGGCUUCGACCAAACUUCUGGCCCGUGCCCGUCAGAGGCCCCUUCAAAUUCUUGAUCAAGUAUGAUGUCUUAGUUAAAAACUUAAUAGUUAAAACUUUCAACAACGGAUCUCUUGGUUCUG
rnacentral:misc_RNA from 1 species